UAGAUGGGGGGAAAACAAUGACCUAGAAAACCAAAUCCCAGUUUGGUAGCCAAAAUUAACCUCUUGGUUCAUUUGUUCUUUGUCUGAGAAUUCCUAAUGUUCAAUGCGUCAGACUUCUCACAGACACUUUCACCUGUCUUGGUUUUGGUUCUUCUUCCGAGAACUGAGCUAUUAAGAUCCUUUUAAGUCAAUACCAGUGGCCUUAAUGGCAGUAGACUGUGGAGUGACACUUGUGACACAAACAUCCUCUUUUUGGCCUGAGUUUAUGUAGACUUCACGGAGGACUAUAUUUUUCUUGGUUGUUUUAUUUUAAUUUUUGUUUUGGCUAUUGCACAACAUAUGCACUAGAGACUCUGGAAGCUGCUGGCAUGAUGGCUAAGUGGCCAAGGGAUAAACCCCUGAGAAACAGCACCUAAUAUCUCUAUAGGCAUCACCUUAUUGCCGUAGCUAGGACUUCUUGUUUAUUUGUUGAACAAAAACUUUAAAAGCUUAUUUGGAAGCUUAAACAUUUUUUUUCUCUUUUCUCCACGAACAAGUGAUCUUCAGAACUCCUUGUCUUCACCUGGAUAUCGGUCUGGGACUGGCCACACAGGCAUGACUACAGGAUUCCUUCCACAUCAUUUAAUGAAGAGAGAGAGACAUGUCCAGAAGUGAUUCACUCCAGGGGAUGAGGUGAAUGCAAAGGGAGCUGAGGUGACGUCAAGCAAUUCUGGAAAGCCACAUGGAAGGAUCUUUGAGAAUGGGAACUUUCCUACCCUUCAACAAAAGCCUCUUAUCCUUUUGGCUGAAAGCUGCAAAAUAAAUACAAGUACCAGUACAUGUUCCUGAAAUUCAGUGAAGACAACCUUGGCCUUCUGAGGUUUUUAUUCUGCCAGAUGACAGGCUUCCCCCUUAGCCCCAAACCAUCGUCUGCACUUUAUAUGUGACUGAUUAAAUCUUCUGUUUUCUUCAUUGUGAAGGCUUUUACAGGAAUGAGAUAUAGAAAGUUAAAAUGAUCAGUGUUCAGAGACCUAAAAAGUAAAAUUGUGGCUGGGUCGCUCUACACCUCAGAGAAAAU
rnacentral:lncRNA from 1 species